rnacentral:misc_RNA from 1 species
GAUUUUGUUUUUCUUGUUGUCCUUCAAAUGCACAUUUAAUAAACAAAGACAAACAAUCCUGGUGCGAAAGAAGACUCAAUUUGUGAGCAGAGACUGUGCCCAUAAUUUCAGCAACACGUUGGCUACGAGUGGUAACUACAAUUUUACUUCCAUCAGCACCUCCCAUUAACAAUGUUUUCAGUUCACCCCAUUUUCUAUGGUCCUCGCUCCACACAUCAUCU